UACAGAGGUCCCAAGCGUUGUUCGGAUUCACUGGGCGUAAAGGGUGCGUAGGUGGUGAGGUAAGUCGGAUGUGAAAUCUCCGGGCUCAACCCGGAAAUGGCAUUGGAAACUACCUUGCUUGAGGAUUUGAGGGGGGAUUGGAAUACUUGGUGUAGCAGUGAAAUGCGUAGAUAUCAAGUGGAACACCAGUGGCGAAGGCGAAGCCCUGGAAAAUACCUGACACUGAGGCACGAAAGCUAGGGGAGCAAACAGG
rnacentral:rRNA from 1 species